CGUGUAGGCGGUCUUAUCGGUCAGAUGUGAAAGCCCAGGGCUCAACCCUGGACGUGCAUUUGAAACAGUAAGACUUGAGUACGGGAGAGGAAAGCGGAAUUCCUGGUGUAGAGGUGAAAUUCGUAGAUAUCAGGAGGAACACCGAUGGCGAAGGCAGCUUUCUGGACCGAAACUGACGCUGAUGCGCGAAGGCGUGGGUAGCGAACAGGAUUAGAUACCCUGGUAGUCC
rnacentral:rRNA from 1 species